rnacentral:miRNA from 1 species
UGAGCCGGUGGGCCCUGAGUUU